UACGGAGGGUGCAAGCGUUAAUCGGAAUUACUGGGCGUAAAGCGCACGCAGGUGGCUGAGUCAGUCGAUUGUGAAAGCCCUGGGCUUAACCUGGGAAUUGCAGUCGAUACUACUCAGCUAGAGUAUGGGAGAGGGUAGUGGAAUUCCCGGUGUAGCGGUGAAAUGCGUAGAUAUCGGGAGGAACAUCAGUGGCGAAGGCGGCUACCUGGCCCAGUACUGACACUCAGGUGCGACAGCGUGGGGAGCAAACAGG
rnacentral:rRNA from 1 species